UGGAGAGGCCACAGCUGCUGGCUUCCUGGGCUUCUCCAAACUCCUGUGUGUCGCCACUGCCACCGGCAGGGAGCCAGGAGAGAGACAGAAAGGGGCUGAGAGAGAAUGAUCAAAAGGAGAGCCCACCCUGGUGCGGGAGGCGACAGGACCAGGCCUCGACGGCGCCGUUCCACUGAGAGCUGGAUUGAAAGAUGUCUCAACGAAAGUGAAAACAAACGUUAUUCCAGCCACACAUCUCUGGGGAAUGUUUCUAAUGAUGAAAAUGAGGAAAAAGAAAAUAAUAGAGCAUCCAAGCCCCACUCCACUCCUGCUACUCUGCAAUGGCUGGAGGAGAACUAUGAGAUUGCAGAGGGGGUCUGCAUCCCUCGCAGUGCCCUCUAUAUGCAUUACCUGGAUUUCUGCGAGAAGAAUGAUACCCAACCUGUCAAUGCUGCCAGCUUUGGAAAGAUCAUAAGGCAGCAGUUUCCUCAGUUAACCACCAGAAGACUCGGGACCCGAGGACAGUCAAAGUACCAUUACUAUGGCAUUGCAGUGAAAGAAAGCUCCCAAUAUUAUGAUGUGAUGUAUUCCAAGAAAGGAGCUGCCUGGGUGAGUGAGACGGGCAAGAAAGAAGUGAGCAAACAGACAGUGGCAUAUUCACCCCGGUCCAAACUCGGAACACUGCUGCCAGAAUUUCCCAAUGUCAAAGAUCUAAAUCUGCCAGCCAGCCUGCCUGAGGAGAAGGUUUCUACCUUUAUUAUGAUGUACAGAACACACUGUCAGAGAAUACUGGACACUGUAAUAAGAGCCAACUUUGAUGAGGUUCAAAGUUUCCUUCUGCACUUUUGGCAAGGAAUGCCGCCCCACAUGCUGCCUGUGCUGGGCUCCUCCACGGUGGUGAACAUUGUCGGCGUGUGUGACUCCAUCCUCUACAAAGCUAUCUCCGGGGUGCUGAUGCCCACCGUGCUGCAGGCAUUACCUGACAGCUUAACUCAGGUGAUUCGAAAGUUUGCCAAGCAACUGGAUGAGUGGCUAAAAGUGGCUCUCCACGACCUCCCAGAAAACUUGCGAAACAUCAAGUUCGAAUUGUCGAGAAGGUUCUCCCAAAUUCUGAGACGGCAAACAUCACUAAAUCAUCUCUGCCAGGCAUCUCGAACAGUGAUCCACAGUGCAGACAUCACGUUCCAAAUGCUGGAAGACUGGAGGAACGUGGACCUGAACAGCAUCACCAAGCAAACCCUUUACACCAUGGAAGACUCUCGCGAUGAGCACCGGAAACUCAUCACCCAAUUAUAUCAGGAGUUUGACCAUCUCUUGGAGGAGCAGUCUCCCAUCGAGUCCUACAUUGAGUGGCUGGAUACCAUGGUUGACCGCUGUGUUGUGAAGGUGGCUGCCAAGAGACAAGGGUCCUUGAAGAAAGUGGCCCAGCAGUUCCUCUUGAUGUGGUCCUGUUUCGGCACAAGGGUGAUCCGGGACAUGACCUUGCACAGUGCCCCCAGCUUCGGGUCUUUUCACCUAAUUCACUUAAUGUUUGAUGACUACGUGCUCUACCUGUUAGAAUCUCUGCACUGUCAGGAGCGGGCCAAUGAGCUCAUGCGAGCCAUGAAGGGAGAAGGAAGCACUGCAGAAGUCCGAGAAGAGAUCAUCUUGACAGAGGCUGCCGCACCAACCCCUUCACCAGUGCCAUCGUUUUCUCCAGCAAAAUCUGCCACAUCUGUGGAAGUGCCACCUCCCUCUUCCCCUGUUAGCAAUCCUUCCCCUGAGUACACUGGCCUCAGCACUACAGGUAAUGGAAAGUCCUUCAAAAACUUUGGGGAGUUAAUGUUUGAAGAAAGGGCUUUCUGCCAGCCUGGGCAACAUAGUGAGACUUCAUUUCCACACACUCAAAAAGCCAGACAUCUUGGCUCACACCUGUAGUCCCAGCUACUUGGGAGGCUGAGGUGGGAGGAUUGCUUGAGCCCAGGAGCUACGAUCGCACCACUGCAUUCUAGCCUUGGUGAUACAGUGAGACCCUGUCUCAAAAAAAGAAAAAAAGGGCUUUCUGGAAAAACAUUCUUCUCCCACAAUCUCCAAAAGAUAAUGCCAAGACCUGGGUAUCUUCCUGGAUUUGUGAAUGACGUACAGGUAUUCAUUUAUUCAUUGGUACACAUUCUGUAUGCUGCUGUUUUCAAGUUGGCAAAUUAAGCAUAUGAUAAAAUCCCAAAACU
rnacentral:sRNA from 1 species